UCCGGGAAACCGGAGCUAAUACCGGAUAGUAUCUUGAACCGCAUGGUUCAAGUUGGAAAGACGGUUUCGGCUGUCACUUACAGAUGGGCCCGCGGCGCAUUAGCUAGUUGGUGAGGUAAUGGCUCACCAAGGCAACGAUGCGUAGCCGACCUGAGAGGGUGAUCGGCCACACUGGGACUGAGACACGGCCCAGACUCCUACGGGAGGCAGCAGUAGGGAAUCUUCCGCAAUGGACGAAAGUCUGACGGAGCAACGCCGCGUGAGUGAUGAAGGUUUUCGGAUCGUAAAACUCUGUUGUUAGGGAAGAACAAGUGCGAGAGUAACUGCUCGCACCUUGACGGUACCUAACCAGAAAGCCACGGCUAACUACGUGCCAGCAGCCGCGGUAAUACGUAGGUGGCAAGCGUUGUCCGGAAUUAUUGGGCGUAAAGCGCGCGCAGGCGGUUUCUUAAGUCUGAUGUGAAAGCCCCCGGCUCAACCGGGGAGGGUCAUUGGAAACUGGGAAACUUGAGUGCAGAAGAGGAGAGUGGAAUUCCACGUGUAGCGGUGAAAUGCGUAGAGAUGUGGAGGAACACCAGUGGCGAAGGCGACUCUCUGGUCUGUAACUGACGCUGAGGCGCGAAAGCGUGGGGAGCGAACAGGAUUAGAUA
rnacentral:rRNA from 2 species